rnacentral:rRNA from 1 species
UACGUAGGGUGCGAGCGUUAAUCGGAAUUACUGGGCGUAAAGCGUGCGCAGGCGGUUGUGCAAGACAGAGGUGAAAUCCCCGGGCUUAACCUGGGAAUGGCCUUUGUGACUGCGCGGCUAGAGUGUGUCAGAGGGGGGUAGAAUUCCACGUGUAGCAGUGAAAUGCGUAGAGAUGUGGAGGAAUACCGAUGGCGAAGGCAGCCCCCUGGGAUAACACUGACGCUCAGGCACGAAAGCGUGGGGAGCAAACAGG